GUUCGCUUGGGCAUAUGUAUACUGAAAAUCACAACGAUACAGAGAAGUUAGCGUGGCCCUGGGUGAGGAUGAUGUGCACACUUGCAAAGUGUUCCACAUUUUU